GACGAGCGCUGGCGGCGUGCUUAACACAUGCAAGUCGAACGGGCCUGUCUUCUUUUUUGGGGGUGGGUUGAGUGGCGAACGGGUGAGUAUCACGUGAGUAACCUGCCCUUCGGUCCUGGAUAACCGCUUGAAAGGGCGGCUAAUACGGGGUGGUCCGGUUGGUCCGCAUGGGCUGGUCGGGAUAGAUUCACUGUUUUUGGUGUUUCGGCGGGGGAUGGGCUCGCGGCCUAUCAGCUUGUUGGUGGGGUGAUGGCCUACCAAGGCGGUGACGGGUAGCCGGCCUGAGAGGGUGGGCGGCCACACUGGGACUGAGAUACGGCCCAGACUCCUGCGGGAGGCAGCAGUGGGGGGUAUUGCACAAUGGGCGGAAGCCUGAUGCAGCGACGUCGCGUGAGGGAUGGAGGCCUUCGGGUUGUGAACCUCUGUUUCCGGUGGUGAAGGCCCUGUCCGUGUGGUGGGGUUGACGGUAGCCGGGGAUGAAGCGCCGGCUAACUACGUG
rnacentral:rRNA from 1 species